CAUAAUAGUUUUAAAACAAAUUAUAAGUUUUUACUGUACCCUGUUUUAGCAGAUUUUUCAACUGAAAACAAAUUUGCAAUCACAACCUGAAGAAUCAAAGUGGAUGAGAAUGCAAGUGUUGCCAGUCAUUGAAAUUAUAUAGUAGUAUAGAGUAUUAUAGAGAGUAUUAUAGUUACAAAAAGGCAUUUAUUCUUUCAGUAAAAUCUCACUAAAAUUAAAACCAUCCCUUACAGUAUAUGACUGAGGUCUGCAGAGGCAUAUUGUAUGAGCAGAGGCAAUAACACAUUCUCUCUCUACUCUGAUUUUCAUGUCUCCAGUUUGUCUAGAACACUGAAGGGAGGGAGGGACGGGGACACAUAUGCCAGUCUGCAGCUCCCCAACAUCAGCCCUGAAUAUGACGUGCUGCAGGUAA